GACGAACGCUGGCGGCGUGCCUAAUACAUGCAAGUAGAACGCAGUUGCGAACGGGUGAGUAACGCGUCGGUAACUGCCUCAUAGCGGGGGCUAACUAUUGGAAACGAUAGCUAAUACCCCAUCCUGUGCGAUGGACCUGCGUUGUAUUAGCUAGUUGGUGAGGUAAAGGCUCACCAAGGCGCCGAAACAUAGCCGACCUGAGAGGGUUAGCGGCCCAACUGGGACGUAGACACAGCCCAUACUCCUACGGGAGGCAGCAGUAGGGAAUCUUCGGCAAUGGACGGAAGUCUGACCGAGCAACGCCGCGUGAGUGAAGAAGGUUUUCGGAUCGUAAAGCUCGGUUGUUAGAGAAGCGGUAACUAACGAGAAAGGGACGGCUAACUACGUGCCAGCAGCCGCGGUAAUUC
rnacentral:rRNA from 1 species